rfam:Ascaris lumbricoides genome assembly, scaffold: ALTE_contig0017025
UCCUCGGUAGUGUAGUGGUGAGUAUCCGCGCAUGUCACGUCCGAGACCCGGGUUCGAUUACCGGCCGGGGAG